GAUGAAGAACGCAGCGAAAUGCGAUAAGUAAUGCGAAUUGCAGAAUUCAGUGAACCAUCGAAUCUUUGAACGCACAUUGCGCCCGCCAGUAUUCUGGCGGGCAUGCCUGUCUGAGCGUCGUUUCGACCCUCGCGCCCGGCUUCUGUCGGGGGCGGUGUUGGGGAUCGGCCACACCCUUCAGUGGGAGGCCGGCCCCUAAAUUCAGUGGCGACCACGCUGUAGCCUCCCCUGCGUAGUACUAAAACCACCUCGCAGGCGGAGAGCGGUGCGGCCCGCCGUAAAACCCCCCAACUUUUACAAGGUCGACCUCAGAUCAGGUAGGAAUACCCGCUGAACUUAAGCAUAUCAAUAAGCGGAGGA
rnacentral:misc_RNA from 1 species